UUAUUGGUGGGGGUUAAUGAGUUGUGGAUCAGCCCAUCCACAUAAGUUGUCAACAUAACAAAAAUAAUGCACUUAAUUGCCCAAACCUAACCUAACUAAGGACCCACGAAUAGAAAACAAGACAGCACAUCAGGUCGGGCUCGGGAAUUAUAACUCUUGAAACCCUCUCCAGGAAGUUGGCACUGCAGAAAAUGAUGAUAUUGAAAACCUUUUGCAAGUUGUAGACAUUUACAAGGUCCCAAAACUGUUUUACAAUGUAGAACGGAAGAAAUUUGUGUUGGAGCCAGUAAGAGCACAAGACUUGCAUGGAGAUGCUUCAGAUAAAGCUACAGUUUUCAGGGGCAGAUAUUCCAUUGUUUACCAACGCACUUGCAACCAUGACUUGUUUCGUAAGCCAGUUAUUGGAAAUAUCGAUGAAGAUAACAAGAAAUUUGGCCUAAUAAAGAGGAUAAAUUUUUUCAACUGGUGACAGGAGUAGUUGGAGCCGAUUUCUUGCGGAGUUUAAAAUCUCCUUUCCGAAUGUCGGCCAACAAGCGAUCAACAACACAACUUCCACUAUCCUCCAGUGGAGGCAGGGCAGAGCCUCUUUUUCUUAAAGGUACACCUGAUGCUUGAGCUUUGGCACGUUCCUCAUCCUGGCGACGUCGUUCUUCCUCUAGGUGCUUUUUGCGCUCUUCUCUUUUUCUCCUACUUUCAUUUUCCUGAGAAAUAUGUAAUAUUAAUAUAAUGUAUACUGAACUUUUCAUGUUUAACUCCAAAGUACAGUAGAGUCUACUCAAUUUGUUGAGUCUACUGUACUCCAAAAUACAGUAUAUAUAUAAAAUCUACUUUUAUAUAUAUAAAAUAAACUUUUUGUUACAUUUAAAACUUCUCAAAAUAUUACACAUGUUACUGGUUUUGGAAGAAUAUACUUUUCAGUUACCAAAAUUUCCACUAACACAAUCUAUUGCACCUUCUUGUGUGUUUAUGUACCCAGUGUGUGUGUGUGUAUAUAUCUAUACUGUAUUAUAAUAUCUCUGUCCAAAGUUGGAAGCCAGAUUCCAGAUACCUCACCCUAAUUGCUAGAGGAAAUGGUCUGGGGUAUGGGUUAAACAUAGGCUGGUUGGGGUCACCAGAAUUCAAAAGGGAACAUCAUAUCAGGGUCACAUUAAACCCCCCACGACGAUUUUUGACACUGUCCGCCAGCUGCACAGAAAUUUCCUCUCCCUCACUUCCGACACAAUGAAUUAUACAGUACUGUAUUAUUAUUUAAAGCAAGUUAUUAUUUGUUUUAUUUCUUUAAGAUUUAACAUAUAUUACCUUUCUUCUCAUUUAGUAAUGAUUCAUUAUAAUUGUUAUCUGAAUUAUUCAAAGUUUUACCUGAAAUGCAUUGUGUAAUACAGUAGUGGCUUCAUUUUAUGUGAAACCCCUGUACCAACAAUUGUAUCUUUGUCUUAUGCUCUUUGUAUGCACAUUCUUAUGAGUAAAUUAUUAUUAUUAUUAA
rnacentral:misc_RNA from 1 species